rnacentral:misc_RNA from 1 species
GAUGAAGAGCGCAGCGAAAUGCGAUAAGUAGUGUGAAUUGCAGAAUUCAGUGAAUCAUCGAAUCUUUGAACGCACAUUGCGCCCUUUGGUAUUCCAAAGGGCAUGCCUGUUCGAGCGUCAUUUGUACCCUCAAGCUUUGCUUGGUGUUGGGCGUCUUGUCUCUAGCUUUGCUGGAGACUCGCCUUAAAGUAAUUGGCAGCCGGCCUACUGGUUUCGGAGCGCAGCACAAGUCGCACUCUCUAUCAGCAAAGGUCUAGCAUCCAUUAAGCCUUUUUUUCAACUUUUGACCUCGGAUCAGGUAGGGAUACCCGCUGAACUUAAGCAUAUCAAUAAGCGGAGGA